GACGAACGCUGGCGGCGUGCCUAAUACAUGCAAGUAGAACGCUGAAGGAGGAGCUUGCUUCUCUGGAUGAGUUGCGAACGGGUGAGUAACGCGUAGGUAACCUGCCUGGUAGCGGGGGAUAACUAUUGGAAACGAUAGCUAAUACCGCAUAAGAGUAAAUGUUGCAUGACAUUUGCUUAAAAGGUGCAAUUGCUUCACUACCAGAUGGACCUGCGUUGUAUUAGCUAGUUGGUGGGGUAACGGCUCACCAAGGCGACGAUACAUAGCCGACCUGAGAGGGUGAUCGGCCACACUGGGACUGAGACACGGCCCAGACUCCUACGGGAGGCAGCAGUAGGGAAUCUUCGGCAAUGGACGGAAGUCUGACCGAGCAACGCCGCGUGAGUGAAGAAGGUUUUCGGAUCGUAAAGCUCUGUUGUAAGAGAAGAACGAGUGUGAGAGUGGAAAGUUCACACUGUGACGGUAUCUGACCAGAAAGGGACGGCUAACUACGUG
rnacentral:rRNA from 1 species